AGUGAACGCUGGCGGUAGGCCUAACACAUGCAAGUCGAACGGCAGCACAGUAAGAGCUUGCUCUUACGGGUGGCGAGUGGCGGACGGGUGAGGAAUACAUCGGAAUCUACUUUUUCGUGGGGGAUAACGUAGGGAAACUUACGCUAAUACCGCAUACGGCCUACGGGUGAAAGCAGGGGAUCUUCGGACCUUGCGCGAUUGAAUGCGCCGAUGUCGGAUUAGCUAGUUGGCGGGGUAAAGGCCCACCAAGGCGACGAUCCGUAGCUGGUCUGAGAGGAUGAUCAGCCACACUGGAAGUGAGACACGGUCAAGACUCCUACGGGAGGCAGCAGUGGGGAAUAUUGGACAAUGGGCGCAAGCCUGAUCCAGCCAUACCGCGUGGGUGAAGAAGGCCUUCGGGUUGGAAAGCCCUUUUGUUGGGAAAGAAAAGCAGCAGGUUAAUACCCCGCUGUUCUGACGGUACCCAAAGAAUAAGCACCGGCUAACUUCGUG
rnacentral:rRNA from 1 species